GACGAACGCUGGCGGCGUGCCUAAUACAUGCAAGUAGGACGCAGUUGCGAACGGGUGAGUAACGCGUAGGUAACUACCUAUUAGAGGGGGAUAACUAUUGGAAACGAUAGCGAAUACCGCAUACUAGUAGAUGGACCUGCGUUGUAUUAGCUAGUAGGUAGGGUAAUGGCCUACCUAGGCAACGAUACAUCACCGACUUGCAGAGGUGAUCGGCCAAAACGGGACUGAGGAAAGGCCCCGACUCCUACGGGAGGCAGCAGUAGGGAAUCUUCGGAAAUGGGGUGAAACCUUACCGAGCAACGCCGCGUGAUGGAAGAAGGUUUUCGGGUCGUAAAGCUCUGUUGUUAAGGAAGCGGUACUUAACCAGAAAGGGACGGCUAACUACGUGCCAGCAGCCGCGGUAAUUC
rnacentral:rRNA from 1 species